GUGGAUUAGAUACCCUGGUAGUCCACGCCGUAAACGAUGGAUACUAGCUGUUCGGAGCAAUCUGAGUGGCUAAGCGAAAGUGAUAAGUAUCCCACCUGGGGAGUACGUUCGCAAGAAUGAAACUCAAAGGAAUUGACGGGGGCCCGCACAAGCGGUGGAGCAUGUGGUUUAAUUCGAUGAUACGCGAGGAACCUUACCAGGGCUUAAAUGUAGAUUGACAGGUUUGGAAACAGACUUUUCUUCGGACAAUUUACAAGGUGCUGCAUGGUUGUCGUCAGCU
rnacentral:rRNA from 1 species